AAAGGAAUAGACGGGGGCCCGCACAAGCGGUGGAGCAUGUGGUUUAAUUCGAUGCAACGCGAAGAACCUUACCAGGUCUUGACAUCCAACGAACCCUUUGGAAACAUAGGGGUGCCUUGGUUUACUGAGGAGCGUUGAGACAGGUGGUGCAUGGUUGUCGUCAGCUCGUGUCGUGAGAUGUUGGGUUAAGUCCCGCAACGAGCGCAACCCUUGCUGUUAGUUGCUAACGGGUAAAGCCGAGCACUCUAGCAGGACUGCCGGUGCAAGCCGGAGGAAGGUGGGGACGACGUCAAAUCAUCAUGCCCUUUAUGAUCUGGGCUACACACGUGCUACAAUGGCCGGUACAGAGAGAAGCGAAGCCGCGAGGUGAAGCAAAUCUCAAAAAGCCGGUCACAGUUCGGAUUGCAGGCUGCAACUCGCCUGCAUGAAGUCGGAAUCGCUAGUAAUCGCGAAUCAGAACGUCGCGGUGAAUGCGUUCCCGGGCCUUGUACACACCGCCCGU
rnacentral:rRNA from 1 species